UGGAAUCACAUCUCUCUUCUCUGCUUCUGCUCAUGAUCUUUCUGCCAGACAGUCUCUGUGGACACUCUGAAGCUCAAGUGCGACUGGUGCAAUGGUUUUAUUUCUGCAACAGCAAAACCUGGACAUCAUAACCAACCAGGAACCAGGGAGAAACUGUGUGGAGCUCUGCCCCAGUGAAACCCAUGUGCCUCAACCCCCCUGCGUUUCCUGGGGAGGCGUGGCUCCAAAUUCCAGAUGGGUGACCCAUUUUUAGGGUUAACAUCAAAGGCCAGAUUUUGGAUUUAAGGGCAGUAAACUAAACAAUCUGGGAGGAUGCAAUCAGUCUCUCCCGUGCACACCGUGCACGUAAUUUCUAUGUACAGGGUGUCUGUAGCCAGACUCCCGUAUGUAGCUUUUAUUACCAGGUAUGACUCCGUAAUUUGGUUUCCUUCUUAUGUUUUUAUAUUGUAUUUGGAACUAGUGUGUAAUUACGUAUGUAACCUGCCUGGUAAAAUAAAUAGUUAAAACAUGA